rnacentral:SRP_RNA from 1 species
AGGAAGGUAGCAGCAGUUAUUAAGUCUUUGUCUGAUGCCAUUUGUUCCCU